AAAGUCGUAACAAGGUUUCCGUAGGUGAACCUGCGGAAGGAUCAUUAUCGUGGGGCUUCGGCCCCGUCGAGAUAACACCCUUGCCUUUAUAAGUACCGCCCGUUUCCUCGGCAGGCUCGCCUGCCAAUGGGGACACAUUUAAUUAACACUCUGAAAUACCUGUAACAGUCUGAUAAAACAAACAAAAGUUAAAACUUUCAACAACGGAUCUCUUGGUUCUG
rnacentral:misc_RNA from 1 species